CACGUUUUUUCCCCGCCUUUUCCAAGCCACGCCCAACCCCCCGCCCCGCCCCCACUUCACAAAACCCCUCCCACACUUCCAUAUUUGGCGUUUAGGGGGCGGAGACUUCCGGGGAGGGGGCGUGUCCGGCGGCUGCCCCACAAGUGAAGCUCUUGGGGAGGGGGGAGGGGUUUCAAAGUUCCGUUUUCUGCCCCAAAAAUCCCAAUUUUGGGGUCUUUAAAAGUUCCUUUUUCUGCCCCAAAAUGAAACUCGAGGGGGGGGGAAACUCAAAGUUCGUUUUUUUUUGCCCCAAAAAAGUCGAAAUUUUGGGGUUUUAAAGUCGAUUUUUCUGCCCCAUAAGUGAAGUUUGGGGUCUUAAAGUUCCUUUUUCUGCCCCAUAAGUGAAAUUUUGGGGUUUUAAAGUUGCUUUUUCUGCCCCAUAAGUUGAGAUUUGGGGUCUUAAAGUUGAUUUUUCUGCCCCAUAAGUGAAGUUUGGGGUCUUAAAGUUGAUUUUUCUGCCCCACAAGUGAACUUGGGGGUCGCUGGAGUCGAUUUUCUGCCCCACAAGUGGAGUUUGGGGUCCCAAAGUUCCUUUCCUGCCCCACAAGUGAACUUGGGGGUCGCUGGAAUCCGGUUCUGCCCCACAAGUGAACUUAGGGGUCGCUGGAAUUGGUUUCUGCCCCACAAGUGAAGUUUGGGGUCACUGGAGUCGAUUUCCUGCCCCACAAGUGGAGUUUGGGGCCUUGAAGUCGAUUUUUCUGCCCCACAUGUGAAGUUGGGGGUCGCUGAAAUCUGUUUCUGCCCCAUAAGUGAAGUUUGGGGUCUUAGAGUUGAUUUCCUGCCCCACAAGUGGAGUUUGGGGUCCCGAAGUUCCUUUUUCUGCCCCAUAAGUGAACUUGGGGGUCGCUGGAAUCCGUUUCUGCCCCAUAAGUGGAGUUUGGGGUCCCAAAGUUCAUUUUUCUGCCCCACAAGUGAAGUUUGGGGUCUUAAAGUCCCUUUCCUGCCCCACAAGUGAACUUGGGGGUCGCUGGAAUCCGGUUCUGCCCCACAAGUUGAGAUUUGGGGUCUUAAAAUCCGAUCUCUGCCCCACAAGUGAAGUUUGGGGUCUUGAAGUUGAUUUUUCUGCCCCACAAGUGAACUUGGGGGUCGCUGGAAUCCGUUUCUGCCCCACAAGUGGAAAUUUGGGGUCUCAGGCUCCGUUUCUGCCCCAUAGAUGGAAUUUUGGGGGGUCCAAGUCCAUUCUCUGCCCCACAAGUGGAACUUGGGGGUCUCCAGGUGCCCCACAAGUGAAUUUUGGGGGUCUCCAAGUCCAUUCUCUGCCCCAUAGAUGGAAUUUGGGGGGUCCAAGUCCAUUUCCUGCCCCACAAGUGGAACUUGGGGGUCUCGGGCUCCGUCUCUGCCCCACAAGUGAAAUUUUGGGCGUCUCCAAGUCCGUUCUCUGCCCCACAAGUGAACUUUGGGUUCUCAAGUCCAUUCUCUGCCCCACAAGUGGAACUUGGGGGUCUCGGGCUCCGUUUCUGCCCCACAAGUGAAUUUUGGGGGUCUCCAAGUCCAUUCUCUGCCCCAUAGAUGGAAUUUUAGGGGGUCCAAGUCUCGUUCUCUGCCCCACAAGUGGAACUUGGGGGUCUCAGGUUCCAUUUCCUGCCCCAUAGAUGGAAUUUUGGGGGGUCCAAG
ensembl:lncRNA